CAAAUCAUCGAACAUUGGUGGGCGUUUUUGUAUAUGAGUUUCCAAAGCGAGUUUAAUGCUAUAUUCAAUCUGAAUCUGAGGUACCGACCUCCAAAUCAGCACGCCUUGUGACAAAACAAUCUCGGCUUCGAAUGAUUGCUUCAUCAGUUCAUCAUCGAAGCCGCACAAUCCAAGCUCAGCGAAGUCAAACAAGCGAAAGAUUACCUGGCUUUCAGGCAGUUCCGCCUAAUUAAUCAUCCCCUGGAUAAUGUGUAGAAAGAGAUUUCGUGGCGAGGACUUGCGGACGAG
rnacentral:lncRNA from 1 species